AUUGAACGCUGGCGGCAGGCUUAACACAUGCAAGUCGAGCGGAGAUGAGGUGCUUGCACCUUAUCUUAGCGGCGGACGGGUGAGUAAUGCUUAGGAAUCUGCCUAUUAGUGGGGAAAACAUUCCGAAAGGAAUGCUAAUACCGCAUACGUCCUACGGGAGAAAGCAGGGGAUCUUCGGACCUUGCGCUAAUAGAUGAGCCUAAGUCGGAUUAGCUAGUUGGUGGGGUAAAGGCCUACCAAGGCGACGAUCUGUAGCGGGUCUGAGAGGAUGAUCCGCCACACUGGGACUGAGACACGGCCCAGACUCCUACGGGAGGCAGCAGUGGGGAAUAUUGGACAAUGGGUGGAACCCUGAUCCAGCCAUGCCGCGUGUGUGAAGAAGGCCUUAUGGUUGUAAAGCACUUUAAGCGAGGAGGAGGCUACUGAGACUAAUACUCUUGGAUAGUGGACGUUACUCGCAGAAUAAGCACCGGCUAACUCUGUGCCAGCAGCCGCAGUAA
rnacentral:rRNA from 1 species